rnacentral:sRNA from 1 species
UCAACAGCUCCAUAAUAAUGGUAAGA